GCCUUCGUGGUGUAGUGGUCUGCAUGUUCGACGCGUAACCGAGAGGUCCGUGGUUCGAUUCCCGGCGAAGACG
rnacentral:tRNA from 1 species